UACGGAGGGUGCAAGCGUUAAUCGGAAUUACUGGGCGUAAAGCGCACGUAGGUGGAUAGAUAAGUCAGAUGUGAAAGCCCUGGGCUCAACCUGGGAACUGCAUUUGAUACUGUUUAUCUAGAGUAUGGUAGAGGGAAGUGGAAUUUCAGGUGUAGCGGUGAAAUGCGUAGAUAUCUGAAGGAACAUCAGUGGCGAAGGCGACUUCCUGGACCGAUACUGACACUGAGGAGCGAAAGCGUGGGUAGCGAACAGG
rnacentral:rRNA from 1 species